UACGUAGGGUGCGAGCGUUGUCCGGAAUUAUUGGGCGUAAAGCGCUCGUAGGCGGUUUGUUGCGUCAGCCGUGAAAACCUGCAGCUUAACUGUGGGCCUGCGGCCGAUACGGGCAGACUUGAGUUCGGUAGGGGAGACUGGAAUUCCUGGUGUAGCGGUGAAAUGCGCAGAUAUCAGGAGGAACACCGGUGGCGAAGGCGGGUCUCUGGGCCGAUACUGACGCUGAGGAGCGAAAGCGUGGGGAGCGAACAGG
rnacentral:rRNA from 1 species